GACUCUGGAGUGACAGAAAUCUCCAGUCUGCUGAGAAAUUCACAGACACUACAGAUACUCAGGUUAAACUGCAUCAGUAUUACAGAUGAAGGUUGUGCUGCUCUGGCAUCAGCGUUUAAUUCAAACCUCAGAGAGCUGGAUCUGAGCAGGAAUCAAAUAGGAGACUCUGGAGUGACAGAAAUCUCCAGUCUGCUGAGAAAUUCACAGACACUACAGAUACUCAGGUCUGUAGUUGGUUAAUCUAAACAUGAAGCAAUGUAAAGCUCCAGAUGGUCUGUAAACUGGUGCUGUGUCACAAGGAAUGGGUCAGUGAUGUGAAAUUGGUGUGUUGGUGUAGAUACAUUUUAUAAAUAUUGACAGAUUGAUUUUUUUUAAGGUGAUGGGAAAUGUUAAUAUCCUAAUGGUGUAAUAAAUGUUUUUAUGUAUUGAUUUAAUCUUUCUGUAGACUUUCAGACUGCAGUAUCAUAAAGAAGGUUAUAAUACAGUUGCAAUCAAAAUUAUUCAACCCCCUUGACCUGCAAGACAUUUUGCUGCGGAGAACAUAAUUUUAUGAAAACAGUUCAACAAAGGCAUCAGUAAAGUAUUAGAGAAAGUUUGUUAAUACACUUUUGAGUGAUUCUGAGAACGGAACAUUGAUGAAUUAUGAUGAAAUUCAAAGUUGGCUCUAAAUAUUUGUGUUCAAUAUUAUUCAGCCCUC